UUCUUUCCAACGAGCUUGCCAGAAGUACCCCCAGUGAUGACAUCUAUCACAUGCCUUGCAGGCUGAUCCAGAGCUGGCAACGCUGGCUGAUUAGGUUGAGCUGCCGGGACAGGUACUCGGUCCUGCUGCUGAUUAGUUCGAGCAGCCACAUAUUAAACUAAAGCUCCACCUUGUACCUUUCUCUCAAUGAACUCUUUUAAACUGGCACAAUCGUUCGUCUCAUGUCCCGACGCUUGAUGGUAGUCGCAAUACUUGCGGGGAUUUCCCUUUCCAGGCUUGAUGUUAUCUCGUGGUGGCUCGAAAAUAGGCUGAUUUUUGAUCUGAUCUAAGAUAACAGCCCUAUCGGCGUUGAGCGCCGUGAAAGUCCUGUUUACUCUCUGGGGUGGAGCGGACGAACGUCCUCCACCCUGCCUCCAAUUGUUAUACCUUUUCGACCCGCCUUCAUGACGGUCUUUGUGUCCUUCACUCUUCUUUUGGUCUUCAUUAGUU
rnacentral:lncRNA from 1 species